rnacentral:rRNA from 5 species
AAUCAAGUGCCUUAAGGGUGUUCGGUGGAUGCCUUGGCGCUGAGAGGCGAUGAAGGACGUGCUACGCUGCGAUAAGCCGUGGGGAGCUGCGAAGAAGCUUUGAUCCGCGGAUUUCCGAAUGGGG